ensembl:lncRNA
CACCUAUCGAAUGACAAAACACUCAUGGUCCCAGUAGAGCAGCAGAGAUAAGAAUGGCGUGAACUAACAAGAACGCUCUGAGAGGAACAGGAGUGGAGAGUCUGAACCAUAGCCAUAUAUACAUAGUCGCAUUGAUGCGAUACGUCAACUUAAGCCGCAAUAUUGGAGAGGCAAGUAAUACAAUUAAACAGGGGAGCUUCGGUUUUUAUUGAUAGAAAGCACUACAACGUUUACAUUUCCCAAAGGAUUGAGUCGUUUUUAUUCAUGGGGUUAUGAUGGAAAAAAAAUUAAAAUAUAUACAAUACCCAUUUUAUAUGAAUAUAUGAGGAGUAACCCACCUCUUAUUUUUCACCUUUAUGUUUUAUAUAAAUAAAUUAUUAAAUAUGUAUAUAAAAACGAAUCAUUGAAUUUCGUUGGAAACGUUUGUGCUUUUAAUCCAUCAGGACUCCAGCAGCUCAACCGUUUUCUUCAAUUCGUUUACCGGCGUCUUUGCAUAUCAAAUUUGGCGUCAACGUUGACGUAUGGCAGCAACGGGUCGGAACAGUCAAUGCAGUGACUGUGAUCUGAACGACCCUGAAGGUUCUCCUAUUGGAUUUCUGCCAUGUGGCGCCACCGUGUGGUCGUUCGGAUGACAGCAAACGGUCAAGAGGACGCCACAAGUAAACAGACAAAUAUGCCAUUUUCUGGUUCAACAUGUUAUACCUUUGCUUUGCAUUUUUGAUGCGAUGUCAAGUUGCCUAAUAUUAAUUGCUAUAUUUCUUGAAAAUAAAACGUUUUUCUUCUGGUAAAUCUUGUAAAAAGAAAAAUCAAAUUAGGGAAAUGUAUGUAAUUGAUGUGCCCGAAAAUAUAUCUGAGAUCUGAGUCGAAUUAGAACACAGAAACGCAUAAUGCUUACAACGGUUUUCUAUAUUAAUACUUCCAUCAGAUCACCAUAGUAACAGUGCAGUCAAUUACAAGUCCAUUCAGCACAAACAUUUCCAUCAGAUCUCCAUGGUAACAGUGGGGUAAUGUACAAUGCUAUUCCACUCAAACACUUCUUCCGAUCACCCAGUUGACGGUUUUGUCCAUAACAACGUCCUUGUUACGAACAGUUAUGUCUGCACGAACAGUUAUGCAUUCAGUGAAAAACACUAUUCCGCAUGAACACGUCCAUCAGAACACCAAGGUAACGGUGCGUUCAGUGAAAACACUGUUCCGCACGAACACGUCCAUCAGAACACCAAGGUAACGGUGCGUUCAGUGAAAACACUGUUCCGCACAAACACGUCCAUCAGAACACCAUUCCAUGGUGGUCAAUGGUGAUCUGUUUCUCUCACUAUCUUGCUGCUGUUACCCCGCAACUGAAUCAACAGGUCCUUGAAGCCGCCCCUCUUUGCUGGACCACCCUUACUGGCUCCCGCUUUCUGGUCGACCGUGAAAUCUAUGGCGACCAGGGAGGGGACCACCUCCAGGGAGCUGUGGGCGGAGUCCUGCGCCUCAGCAUCCUCCUCCUCGCUCAGACUAUCGAGAGGCGACGGGUUGUCGACACUCUGACCGUGGGGAGCGGUGGGGCUAGGCUCUUUUUGGUGGGGGUCGCACCUGGCCCUCUUCCCCAUCGUCGUCGUCGUCUCCUCCAUCCUUCUACUCGUGCGCUUCCUCUUCCUCCCCCUCCUGGCCGACGCCUUGGUGCAGCGUCUCAGGUUCCUUCACCAAGAGCACAGCAGUCAGCCACAGCCACGCCUGUUUUAACUUUAAAUCAGCACAUGCUACUUCUAGCCCUAUAAGUGGUUCAAAAUAGAUUUAUUUUUUACCAUGAGAUAUGCCCUUAGUAUUCCAAUGUAUAGCAUUUUGGUAGAAUCGGCUCAAAACAGCCAACUUAAGAAUGCGUCUAUAGGCGUUUUUUUGCUCCCCAAUAAACGUUCAUACCCGUAUCAUACUAAACAUAUCCCAGAUCCAUUUUACACCGGAUUUCCCC